AGGAAAGCCAAUCAACUGUACCCCUCCGAGCUGUGAGUUUAUAGGAAAAGCUGAGCUUCGUUGGAUGGAGGAAAAAGUGGCCAGCAGGGGUCAUAAGAAAAGAACAUAUCCAUGAUGAGAAAAAAAACAAGUGAAUGGUACAUUAGUAAUGGGCAAGAAAACCUCCAGAAGGGAUUGACUUUGUCACUGCAAAUACGCUUACUGCAAUACAAACCUGGAUAAAUCAGAGUAUCUCAAAGCAGCAAGAAUAAGCAUUCAAGAUAAUAGUUUUCUUUAUGGAUCUUCUCUUAGCAGUACAGCAGAUGAAGUAACAAGGAAUCUACCCAGCAGGUGAAUUUCUAUUAAAGCCUUUCUGUGUCUUGGCAGUGGCUCACAGCAUUGACAUUCUUUCACAAAACACUUAGUAUCAAGGAAUCAGCAUUUUUCUAGUGACAAGUCACUUAAUAAAAUUCCUGACGUUGUCCAAGUACAAUGCCUAACCAAAGUGAUGCAGUUAGGAUGGUUUAAAAGGUGUGCUAGAAUCUAAGUUUAUUGCCAUCUGUAAAAAAAUCUGCAGCACACACAAAGAAUGGUGGCUCACUGGAGAAAACAAGAGGUUAUUGUCUUUGCAGCCUCGUGAUUUUGUUCUCUGCCUCAGCCUCUCAUGAGGCAGAAUGUUUCCUGCACAUUCCAGAAUCACUCUUCUGAAAUGGGAGUCUCAUACUUUCUGAGCUAAACAGCUUCAGCCCUGGCUGACACCAGUGCUUGCUUUUAGCCUGUCAUUAGUCAGCACGCUAUCAGACCUGCCCUGUAAAAGCAUGAUCACAUCAAACCACGGUUUCACACCACUGGACACGUCCAAUAUGCUCAUAUGAAGAAUGCAUUUGUUUUAUAUCUGGCCCAACCUGCUCUUAUAGUCCUCACUGCUUAGCAAAUAAAGCCUCCUGCAACACAAAGUACACUCCAGGCUGAUGCUCAACAUAUUACCUCUAUGGUGAAAAGACUUCACAGACUGUCAAAUAAAUUCUUCUUAGGACACCAUCCUAAAUUUCCACUAAGGUAUAGGAAAUAAAAUAUUUUAUAAUGUAUUUCCAAACACAGUUAUUUGUCCUCUGAGUGCCGCAAGAAUGUUUACAAACUGCUGUGCAGGCUGGAUAGUAAAGCAGUUCUGGUUAAAAGGUCAGUUUAAGGGUUUAGGGCAAUAAUAGCCCAGUUUAUAGAAGUGGGGAAGCAGAGGCCAUAGAAAGGUAAGGGCUGAAAAUGAAGCAUAAUAAAAAAUACAAUUUCACUCAGUUGUUCUACAGGAAUGAACAACAUCAUCCACUCCUACUUUCCCCUGCUGCCUAGAAGGCCCUUGUUACACCUGCAGUUUCUAAGGUCAAUCACUUGAAGGCAGAAAAUUUUCCUUUCUAUGGGCAAGUAUGCAAACUCUUCAGGUAAGUUUGGACAAUAAAUAAACUGACCUGAAUACUUCAGGAAAAUGGAAAAAAAAAAAAAAAAAAAAAGUGUUAGAAAGAUAGGGAAAGAUAGGAUCUUCAAUUCAUAAAGGGAAGAUGGAUUUUUUUAAUUAAGUGAAUAACAGAAUUCUGAGACUUUCUGUUCCAGCUCUGUCACAGGCCCUUUUGUGACCCUGACCUGUGGUCUGAAUGUGUUUCUCUUGAAGUCAACACGAGUUUUAUAACUGUCUUUACAAGAAUCAGCAUGAUUUAAGAAAUUUCAGCAGCACUUGUUGACCUCAUAUCCAUCAUGGAACAGCACGAUGCAGACACACACCACUGAAGCUGUGCUCGUGGCAUUCAGCUGGUGCAGCCUGGCCCCUUCCCAUGCAGAGAUCCCAGCUGGGGAUGAAAAUAGCGUUACCCUGUGCCACGCUGUGCCCGUGCUAGUAAUCUCUCCCUCUCAGCCUAUCUACACAAGAGACAUCUUGACAUUAUAACAAAGAGACUAAAUGAAAGACAGACACUUGACAACUGGACCUGGCAGCUAGCCAUUCCACAGGAGUCACUGCAAUAAACGACGGUGGAAACACGCACACAAUCUAAAUCAUCACUGCAGAAGUUUAUCUCAUUUUUCUUUCUUUCUCUAGGAAUUGCCAUUUGUUACUGUGACUGUGAGAACACCCUUUGUUACUGCGAGUGUGGGAACACCAAAAUCACCAAUAUUUUUACCUAACUGACUGAAUUUAGAUUACUGCACACUUGGUUGAUGUUAGAGCUGAACAGCUUUCUGAUCUCACCACUGCCUGAUUUAGCUUUAUUUUAGAAGGGCUGCCUUCAAAAUAAAAAAAAAAAAAAAAUAUAUGUUGAAGGAAAACAUUUUUAAUUUAGGUCUAGUACAACCUAGGAAAAAAGUUUGAGUCCUGUCUCCAUCAUUUUCACCACUGUCCAAGCUGCUGGCCUGGGGCUGUUGGAGAUCCACAAACAGGCCAACAGGAUGAACUUUGGCGGCCCACCAUGAGGACCUCGGGCUCAGCCUGGGCCACCUGGGCAAGGCCAGCAGUGGCCACAUGCACCAGACGCAGAUCAACGAGGCCACCAAGGCCCAGACCAGCAAAACCCUGCAGAGGACCCUGCAGAAGCAGAGUGUCAUCUACAGCGACAAAUCCAUGAUUUGGGAGCACAGCUUGGGCAUGAAAUGGUGAACCUGUAGACAGCCAAGAAGUGGCUGAGGCCAGCCAGAAAUAUUUGUCCAGCAUGACCAAGUUCCUCAAGGUCAAGGGGGACAAAAGUUGAGUCUGCACCCAUUCCUCUGGAACCCCCAAUCCCACCCCAAAUUCCCAGGGAACCCCCCCAGUAUCCCCCAAAUGACCUCCCCCCCCUUCCUUCUCCAUCAGAAUUUGGGUGUUAGGGGAGUUUUUGGGAGCUUGUCAAGGUCAAGGAGGACAGAAAAGGGGUUCACACCCCCCAACCCCACCGGUACCCACAAAUCCUACCCUGCAAUCUCCUAAUCCCUCAGGGGUUCCCCCCCAUUAUUACCUUCCUGAAUAUUGGAAUUUGCAUUGGAAUUUCUGGUUGAAGCAGAUUGUUGGGUGA